rnacentral:lncRNA from 1 species
AUGUGGCAAAGGUCUUUCACCAUAGUCAUCCCUGCAGAUGCCACCUUUCUGGAGAAAGUUAGGCACCCCAUGCCUUGUCCAACUUCCAGGAGCUUUGGUCUCAGCUUGGCCCCCCAAAUUUCAGACGUCUAUUUUCUUGGGCAUGCUAAAUGUCAACUGAUAUUUAUUGCCUUGAAAGGUAUCUGUUUUCAUUGCCUCCUUUGUUAUUUUUCUACCUUUAAUAAGAUGGCUUCUGACAACAAAGUGAGUCACAAUAGGCUCCCUUAAGGAGGGAGUUGUUUCGAUUUGUAUAUCUUGUUGUCUUUUCCUUUAUAAUGUAAGACUGAGAAGAAAGACACAGACCUCCCAGGCUCUCCCACACCCUUCCUUGCAAGAAGGACUGGGGACUGUGGAUGCCCGAUGUUCUUGCAUGGGGAAGGACAUUCCAGCAACUCAGCUUAAUUUCCUCAACACCAGGAAAGGAAGAGAUAUUUUUACUCAAUUUCUUUACCUGUAAUAUUUUAUAAGUGAUGUUUAACAUACUAGUAUGUAUAUCAGGUGAAGAAAUUUAGGACAGCUGGUAGUCGGGCUGGGAGAUUGCAGAUGAAAAAUGGUGAUAAAAAUAUAGCUUUGUUGGAGCUUUAACUAUGUGCCAGGUGAUUUGUUAAGAGCUUUCUGAGUGUGAGCUCUUCUGAUAAUUAUGACCUAAGUUGGGACUGCUGUUGUGCCCAUUUAACAGAUGAGGAAAAUGAGGUAUAGGAUUGUGGUAAAACUUGUCUAAUGUUAUACAGUUGGAAAAUGGUGGAGUCAGUAUUUGAACCCAGUGUCCUUCUGCCUCUAGCAUACAGGCUCUUCAUCCCAACGCUAUCCUCAAUUUAAUAAUAGCAGAAAAUCAGUAUUGCUUCCAACUGCUUUAAAUCAGCAAAUAUUUGUGAAUUCUGACUAAGUGUCUGGCUUUGUGAUGAGCACUGAUGGUGUAGAGAUUGGUGACCUAGUCCUAGCCGUCAAGCCUCUAAUGAGAUUUUUUUUCGACCUUUGAACGCAGCUGUGAGAAACUUCUAGCAACAUAGCUUCCACCCACCGAGCAAUCCCAACAAAUGGUGUCUAGACACCACAUACCACCGAGCUGCUGCCUUGCCAGCAGUGAGGUCACACAGCGCAGCCAGUCACCAGCACAGGGGCUGAGUCGGCGGCGUCUUGGGCUUGCUAAUUGGGACAGGUGCAGAGGGUGAUGACAGCAGGCCACCCAUGGAGCUCUGGCACAGUGAGCAGAAGAAAGUAUGAUGAAGCCUGCAGCACAGCAUAGGCGGGGAUGGCUGGCAAACAAACACAGGUAGGCAAGAGACCAUCCUGGGAUGUACCAAGAAGUUGGCCACUUUUAGAAAGGGAGUUCCCUAAUCUCUAAAGCAAACGGGAGAGCCUCCAAAAUGAGAGUCUGAAAAUAUAUGCAAAUAUACACCCAUGAACCUGCUAAAGAAAAAGGUAAUUCACGCACACACAUGCACGCAUACACACUCAAUAAUCAUGGUAGAAGCUGUGGCUUUCUCUAGGGAUUAAGAGAUGCUUUUGGGCGAGACUUCUGAUAGUGGCAUUUCACUUGGAUAGACACGAAUUAGGAAUAAAAAUAUAAGAAACUUCAUCUCAUUUACCAUUUAAGGGUUGGUUAGCUGAGACUAAGAAAAUAUUAAAGGGAAAAUAGAGCAUCAGCAGAGUUCAUCCAACAUUGUAUGUAGGCAGGAAUAUUCUAGAACACCAAGAGGAAUGAGAGGAAGUCACCUGAUUCUAAAACUUUACAGUAUAUUGGAACAGGGAAAUAAUUGAAAAGCUGGGAAAUGUUCAAAGUUUUAGUGGAAAAAUAUCCAUUUUCACAUGAACUGAUGUUAAUUUUCUCUGAAAUGUAUAACAACUGAUAUCGAAUUUUAAUCCUAUAAUUGCAUGAAACAUGCAUUUCUGGUGUGAUCUGUGAUGAUUUGAGUAGGACUUUAAAAAAUAAUACACACAAAAAAAAUAAUACACAUACAAAUGUGAAACUAAUGAGAUGUAAAUACAAAAAUAAUAUGUAUAUUUUAUGCUCUGCAUUUUUUGUAGUUAGGAGCCAAUAACAAUUGCUGAUUUAAUAUAUUUAUUUGCAAUUAAAAUGUAAGUUGAGCACCAGUAGCUAUUCAUUUUCUUCCAUAUCAAAAGUUAUCAGUAAAUCAGAGAUAUUGAGAACAUUUUUAUAAAUCACUUUUCUUUAUUUCAAUAGCUUGUCCUUUGCAAUGUAUUUGUUAUCACAAAAUACCUGAUAACUAUUCUGUCUCAUUUGGUUAUUGCAAGAAUAAAAUUAAAAUAAUAUUAAGUCUCUUAAGAGCCUUGUUACAAAGAGUUUAGAGAAACGUUUCACUGUAAUUAGAAGAAGCUACAGCAAUCUACUAAAACCCCACAAAAUUUAUUUUUUAAUUGUGGAAAUCUGAAAGCUAUUUUGUUUCUAUUAUAGUUGAGAUACUUAGAUUAAACACACAAAAGUCAGAGACAAAUUAAACUUAUUUGCUAAUGUUUGGGUGUGCGUUAAGACAAACGAUGUUACCUUAUUUGACAAAAGGGAUUUCGCAAACGUGAUUAAGUCAGAGAUCUUGAGAUGAGGAAAUUGGGCUGGAUUAUUUGGGUAAUCACAAGGGUCCUUGUAUUAGUAUAUAUAUUAUAUAAUUAUAUAUUUUAUAUAUUAUUACAAUAUAAUUAUAUCAUAUAUUAUAACACAAUAUGUAGUUACAUAGUUUAU